rnacentral:rRNA from 1 species
UACGUAGGGGGCAAGCGUUGUCCGGAAUCAUUGGGCGUAAAGAGCGUGUAGGCGGCCAGAAAAGUCCGCUGUGAAAACUCGAGGCUCAACUUCGAGCUGUCGGUGGAAACUUUCUGGCUAGAGUCCGGAAGAGGAGAAUGGAAUUCCUGGUGUAGCGGUGAAAUGCGUAGAGAUCCGGAGGAACACCGAAAGCGAAGGCAGUCUCCUGGCAAGUUUCUGACGCUCAGGUGCGAAAGCUAGGGGAGCGAACAGG